GUCAAAAGCCAAAAUAUCCUAAUGGCACCAGAUCCUGUCUGAUCUUGAAAGCUAAGCAGGGUCAGUCCUGGUUACUACUUGGAUGGGUGACUGCAAUUAAUAUGUAAUGCUAUAGGCU
rnacentral:rRNA from 11 species